GAUGAACGCUGGCGGCGUGCCUAAUACAUGCAAGUCGAGCGAACAGAUAAGGAGCUUGCUCCUUUGACGUUAGCGGCGGACGGGUGAGUAACACGUGGGUAACCUACCUAUAAGACUGGGAUAACUUCGGGAAACCGGAGCUAAUACCGGAUAACAUUUGGAACCGCAUGGUUCUAAAGUGAAAGAUGGUUUUGCUAUCACUUAUAGAUGGACCCGCGCCGUAUUAGCUAGUUGGUAAGGUAACGGCUUACCAAGGCAACGAUACGUAGCCGACCUGAGAGGGGGAUCGGCCACACUGGAACUGCGACACGGUCCAGACUCCUACGGGAGGCAGCAGUAGGGAAUCUUCCGCAAUGGGCGAAAGCCUGACGGAGCAACGCCGCGUGAGUGAUGAAGGGUUUCGGCUCGUAAAACUCUGUUAUUAGGGAAGAACAAACGUGUAAGUAACUGUGCACGUCUUGACGGUACCUAAUCAGAAAGCCACGGCUAACUACGUG
rnacentral:rRNA from 1 species